rnacentral:rRNA from 1 species
AUUGAACGCUGGCGGAAUGCUUUACACAUGCAAGUCGAACGGCAGCACGGGGGCAGCCCUGGUGGCGAGUGGCGAACGGGUGAGUAAUACAUCGGAACGUGCCCGGUCGUGGGGGAUAACGUAGCGAAAGUUACGCUAAUACCGCAUACGAUCUGAGGAUGAAAGCGGGGGACCUUCGGGCCUCGCGCGAUCGGAGCGGCCGAUGUCAGAUUAGGUAGUUGGUGGGGUAAAGGCCUACCAAGCCGACGAUCUGUAGCUGGUCUGAGAGGACGACCAGCCACACUGGGACUGAGACACGGCCCAGACUCCUACGGGAGGCAGCAGUGGGGAAUUUUGGACAAUGGGCGCAAGCCUGAUCCAGCCAUUCCGCGUGCAGGACGAAGGCCUUCGGGUUGUAAACUGCUUUUGUACGGAACGAAAAGGCUCUGGCUAAUACCUGGGGCUCAUGACGGUACCGUAAGAAUAAGCACCGGCUGACUACGUG